UCCGUAGGUGAACCUGCGGAAGGAUCAUUAUUGAAUUUGAUCUUCGGAUCUCAUACAUAAUAACACACUGUGAACCGUGGCUUCGGCCCAAACUUGAAGUCUAGAAUGUAAUAUAUCAUAAUAAAAUACAACUUUUAACAACGGAUCUCUUGGCUCUCGCAUCGAUGAAGAACGCAGCGAAAUGCGAUAAGUAAUGUGAAUUGCAGAAUUCAGUGAAUCAUCGAAUCUUUGAACGCACCUUGCGCCCUCUGGUAUUCCGGAGGGCAUGCCUGUUUGAGUGUCAUGAACACCUCACCCCCUCGGGUUUCCGAUCGGGUGGAUUUGGGUGCUGCCAGUUACAUGGCUCGCCUUAAAAGCAUUAGCGGUUGUAGACUUAAUAAGUUUCGUCUUGUCGACCGCUUCUAAUCUCCUUCGGGAUGUCUUCGGACACUUCAUGAUCUGACCUCAAAUCAGGUAGGACUACCCGCUGAACUUAAGCAUAUCAAUAAGCGGAGGA
rnacentral:rRNA from 1 species